UACCAUCCUCAGAUCCAGAUCUCAGCUUCCAGAGCAGCUAGGAUUACAGCUGAACCAUGGGCUCUGGCUCAAAAAGCAUGUGACCACAACAGAUGAAAAAUCCUAAAGCUACAAACAGUAACUAAAACCCUGUGGGUCAUACGGCUAAGCCUGCUGCCCUCUUAGCCUAGCUGAGCAUGUUAAUUUGGGGUGUGGGGUAGGUGGAAAAUCCCAUGCU